GUGAGGAAUAUUGCGCAAUGGAGGCAACUCUGACGCAGCCAUGCCGCGUGCAGGAAGAAGGCGCUACGCGUUGUAAACUGCUUUUAACCGGGAAGAAACCCCAGGACGUGUCCUGGGUUGACGGUACCGGAGGAAUAAGCACCGGCUAACUUCGUGCCAGCAGCCGCGGUAAUACGAAGGGUGCAAGCGUUAUCCGGAUUCAUUGGGUUUAAAGGGUGCGUAGUCGGAGCGUUAAGUCAGUGGUGAAAUCCUGCAGCUUAACUGUAGACUUGCCAUUGAUACUGGCGCUCUUGAGUGCGCUUGAAGUGGGCGGAAUGUGCCGUGUAGCGGUGAAAUGCUUAGAUAUGGCACAGAACACCAAUUGCGAAGGCAGCUCACUAAGGCGAUACUGACGCUGAGGCACGAAAGCGUGGGGAUCGAACAGGAUUAGAAACCCCAGUAGUCC
rnacentral:rRNA from 1 species